rnacentral:rRNA from 1 species
AAGAAAGUUACAAAGGGCGUACGGGGGAUGCCUUGGCUCCCGGAGGCGAAGAAGGGCGUGACAAGCUGCGAAAAACUGCGGGGAUUGGCAAAUACGAAUUGAUCCGCAGGUACCCGAAUGGGACAACCCAUCUACCGUAAGGUGGAUAUUCCUGCUUGCAGGAAGGCCAACCCGGGGAACUGAAACAUCUAAGUACCCGGAGGAAGAGAAAACAAUAGUGAUUCCCAAAGUAGUGGCGAGCGAAAUGGGAACAGCCUAAACUGGUAUUGUUUCGGCAAUGCCAGGGUUGUAGGGCUGCAAUAUGGUAUAUAAUUUUGAAGUGGAACGGUUUUGGAAAUGCCGGCCAAAGGAGGUGACAGCCCUGUACACGUAGAUAAUUAUAUACUUAGCAGUACCCUGAGUAGGGCGGGACACGAGAAAUCCUGCCUGAAUCUGCCAGGACCAUCUGGUAAGGCUAAAUACUACUGGGAGACCGAUAGUGAACAAGUACCGUGAGGGAAAGGUGAAAAGCACCCCGAACAGGGGAGUGAAAAAGUACCUGAAACCGUGCGCUUACAAGCGGUUGGAGUCUGCCUUUUGGCGGAUGACAGCGUGCCUUUUGCAUAAUGAGCCUACGAGUUAGUCGUCACUAGCGAGGCUAAGGACUUAAGGUCCGUACCCGAAGCGAAAGCGAGUCUGAAUAGGGCGUUAAGUUAGUGGCGCUAGACGCGAAACCCUGUGAUCUACCCAUGGCCAGGUUGAAGUUCCGGUAACACGGAAUGGAGGACCGAACCAGUAGACGUUGAAAAGUCUUUGGAUGAGCUGUGGGUAGGGGUGAAAGGCCAAUCAAACUGGGAAAUAGCUCGUACUCCCCGAAAUGCAUUUAGGUGCAGCCCUGUAGAAGUUUUGCAGAGGUAGAGCUACUGAUUGGAUGCGAGGGCUUCGCCGCCUAUCAAAUCCAGACAAACUCCGAAUGCUGUAAAAUGAUUCACAGGAGUGAGGGCAUGGGUGCUAAGGUCCGUGUCCGAGAGGGAAAGAACCCAGACCACCAGCUAAGGUCCCGAAGUGUAUACUAAGUUGAAGAAAACGAGGUCCGGUUGCUUAGACAGCUAGGAUGUUGGCUUGGAAGCAGCCAUUCAUUUAAAGAGUGCGUAACAGCU